UCGAGCGGUAGCACAGAGAGCUUGCUCUCGGGUGACGAGCGGCGGACGGGUGAGUAAUGUCUGGGAAACUGCCUGAUGGAGGGGGAUAACUACUGGAAACGGUAGCUAAUACCGCAUAAUGUCGCAAGACCAAAGUGGGGGACCUUCGGGCCUCAUGCCAUCAGAUGUGCCCAGAUGGGAUUAGCUAGUAGGUGGGGUAACGGCUCACCUAGGCGACGAUCCCUAGCUGGUCUGAGAGGAUGACCAGCCACACUGGAACUGAGACACGGUCCAGACUCCUACGGGAGGCAGCAGUGGGGAAUAUUGCACAAUGGGCGCAAGCCUGAUGCAGCCAUGCCGCGUGUAUGAAGAAGGCCUUCGGGUUGUAAAGUACUUUCAGCGGGGAGGAAGGCGAUAAGGUUAAUAACCUUGUCGAUUGACGUUACCCGCAGAAGAAGCACCGGCUAACUCCGUGCCAGCAGCCGCGGUAAUACGGAGGGUGCAAGCGUUAAUCGGAAUUACUGGGCGUAAAGCGCACGCAGGCGGUCUGUCAAGUCGGAUGUGAAAUCCCCGGGCUCAACCUGGGAACUGCAUUCGAAACUGGCAGGCUAGAGUCUUGUAGAGGGGGGUAGAAUUCCAGGUGUAGCGGUGAAAUGCGUAGAGAUCUGGAGGAAUACCGGUGGCGAAGGCGGCCCCCUGGACAAAGACUGACGCUCAGGUGCGAAAGCGUGGGGAGCAAACAGGAUUAGAUACCCUGGUAGUCCACGCCGUAAACGAUGUCGAUUUGGAGGUUGUGCCCUUGAGGCGUGGCUUCCGGAGCUAACGCGUUAAAUCGACCGCCUGGGGAGUACGGCCGCAAGGUUAAAACUCAAAUGAAUUGACGGGGGCCCGCACAAGCGGUGGAGCAUGUGGUUUAAUUCGAUGCAACGCGAAGAACCUUACCUGGUCUUGACAUCCACAGAACUUAGCAGAGAUGCUUUGGUGCCUUCGGGAACUGUGAGACAGGUGCUGCAUGGCUGUCGUCAGCUCGUGUUGUGAAAUGUUGGGUUAAGUCCCGCAACGAGCGCAACCCUUAUCCUUUGUUGCCAGCGGUUAGGCCGGGAACUCAAAGGAGACUGCCAGUGAUAAACUGGAGGAAGGUGGGGAUGACGUCAAGUCAUCAUGGCCCUUACGACCAGGGCUACACACGUGCUACAAUGGCAUAUACAAAGAGAAGCGACCUCGCGAGAGCAAGCGGACCUCAUAAAGUAUGUCGUAGUCCGGAUUGGAGUCUGCAACUCGACUCCAUGAAGUCGGAAUCGCUAGUAAUCGUAGAUCAGAAUGCUACGGUGAAUACGUUCCCGGGCCUUGUACACACCGCCCGUCACACCAUGGGAGUGGGUUGCAAAAGAAGUAGGUAGCUUAACCUUCGGGAGG
rnacentral:rRNA from 1 species